rnacentral:lncRNA from 1 species
GCUUUUACCCCAGUCACCCUCCACCCUGCUUUUACCCCAGCCACCCAUCUAGGCGCCGAUCGCGUCGGAUCGCCAAGUUGACUGAGAGCCUGGCGCAAGUUUGCGUCGAUCCCGUCGGAUCGCCGUCAUGGGAUCUAGUCAAAACGACGCUAGCGUGGCCGAGAAUCCAAGUUUGGGAGAAACCUGCUUUUACUCCAGUCACCCUCCAAGACGCAGAUCCUGUCGGAUCGCCGCCAAGUUGACCGCGAACCUAAGUUUACGCCGAUCCCGUCGGGUCGCCGCCAAGUUGACCGAGAACCCAAGUUUGGGAGAAGCCUGCUUUUACCCCAGCCACUCUCCAAGGCGCGGAUCCAGUCAGAU